GCCCCCACCCCAUUAUUACCCUCCAAGGCUGGUAGUCCGGGCCGCCCGGGCAAGGAGCGCCCUCUAGCGGCAGACGAGAGCGUCGGCGCGUGGGCGCCCACAACUCGGCAGCGCGGAAAGCUACGGCUGCGCCGGCUGAGUGCGCGCGGAGAGGACAGCCCUGGCGGUACCACGAGGUCCAUCCAGUCAGCAGGUCUUGGAGUUAAGUCAACAGGAGAAGAGUCAAGUGACGUUACAGAUGAGAUAUACGUCUGAUUUCUUUCUUCCUUCGCCCUCCAUCUCAGAGAAGUGUGCUGUCUAGCCGUUAGAAGACCAAAAGAGAAAUUUCCAUAAGGGAAAAAAAGGAAAGAAAAAUGAUGGUAGAAGAAACAAAGUUUGCAGUUUUUUAAAAAAUCUUCAUCAGAAAUGACCUGCCCAAAUUUGAGAAGGAGAUUUGUCAUCAUCACUUUUGCCUUAUUUAAACUAUUCCGUGGAACCAUAUGCAACUGGUAAAAUUGAUGGACUUUUUUACCUACAAAACAGUAAUUUCAUAUGUAAUUCAAUGUAUACUACUACAAAAACAAACAUGUCAUUGAUUGAAUUAAAAUUUUCUCAUUCCCUGAGAUGAACAAAAGGGGAAAAUACAAUAAUUUAUAAGAUCAGAACUCAAAUAGCAACACAGAAAUUUACUACGAAAAAAUAUUAGUCCCCAUGAGAAUAUGUAAAAGUCAAACAUGAAGCAUACUAUAGAAAAUCUUAAAGAAUCACUACCAAAUCUAAUACCCAACCAGGGUCCUUUUUAUUAGCUCUUUUUUUAAAUUAAAAAGUAAUACACUGGGCUUCGCAGGUGGUGCAGUGGUUGAGAGUCCACCUGCCGAUGCAGGGGACACGGGUUCGUGCCCCGGUCCUGGAAGAUCCCACAUGCCGCGGAGCGGCUGGGCCCGUGAGCCAUGGCCGCUGAGCCUGUGCGUCCGGAGCCUGUGCUCCGCGACGGGAGAGGCCACAACAGUGAGAGGCCCGCGUACCGCAAAAAAAAAAAAAAAAAAAAAGUAAUACACUGACAAGUACAGGUUUCUGGUAACUGACUAUACUGCUGAACUGAAUGAAUAAGCAUUUUCAGAACUCUAAUGGAAAACUGAUGAAUUCAUAAAAGUGCUAACAAAAGAUCAAGAUGAAAAA